AAGUCGUAACAAGGUUUCCGUAGGUGAACCUGCGGAAGGAUCAUUAAUGAGUUGUGAUGGGGUUUGAUGCUGGCAGCCAAUUUUUGGAUGCAUGUGCUUGCCCUAACAAUCAUCUUCCAAACACCUGUGCACAUUUUUGAGGGAGUUUCGAGUUUUAUUGCCGUUUUUGGUGAUUUUCUUGUAUUCCCUUGAAUUAUUAUACGCUGUUAACAAUGAUGAACGUGCUCUGUGCCGCAAGGCCAUUAAUAUAAUACAACUUUUAACAACGGAUCUCUUGGCUCUCGCAUCGAUGAAGAACGCAGCGAAAUGCGAUAAGUAAUGUGAAUUGCAGAAUUCAGUGAAUCAUCGAAUCUUUGAACGCACCUUGCGCUCCCUGGUAUUCCGGGGAGCACGCCUGUUCGAGUGUCGCGAAAUUUCUCAAGCUUGGAUGGCCUUUUUGUCUGUCCUUAGCCUUGGUUGUUGGGCUUUGCCGUGUCCUUUGUUGGGACGGCUGGCCUUAAAAGCAUUAGCUGAUCCUCGUGUGGCACUGGUUCUACUCAGCGUGAUAACAGUCUGAUCGCUGAGGACAUCUUUUGGGAUGGCCAGUUCUCAUUUGGGUUGCUUCCAAACUUGGUUUUGCAGAUUCUUCAAUCUGUGUUCCACUUUUCAGCUUUGACCUCGAAUCAGGUGGGACUACCCGCUGAACUUAAGCAUAUCAAUAAGCGGAGGAAAAGAAACUAACAAGGAUUCCCCUAGUAACGGCGAGUGAAGCGGGAAGAGCUCAAAUUUAAAAUCUGGCAAUCUUUGGUUGUCCGAAUUGUAAUCUAGAGAA
rnacentral:misc_RNA from 1 species